rnacentral:lncRNA from 1 species
CCGGCGAGGUUUAUUUCAGCGCCGCCGCGGGGGCUGCUCGAGGCCGGUGUCCCGGAGGAGCCGAGCGGCCGCCUGCUGCACCCGCGGGUCCCCGUCGCUCCGCAGCACCCGCAGAGCUGCAACGGCACCGGCACCGGCGUCAGGGCCGCACCCGGCACCGGCCCGGCCGCUGGGUCAGCGACCGCUGCGGUGCCGGGGCCCAAACUGCCCCUGGGGCGACGCGGGACGCGCUGUCCUCGGCCGCAAAACACCCCCCCGCCGCCCCGCAGCAAGCGGGUCACCUCGGCUUUAACUGCCUGGGUCGUGGGGGCCGCCUGGGUUUGGCCCAGCAGGGUCCGUGUCACCAGACGCAGACCAGCCCCAGGAUCAGGCUGCUUCCCCAGACGCAGGGGCACAGCGCUGCCCUUCCUGGAGCCCGGGUCUGGCGGGCGGCAGAGGGACACGGGCUGCCCCGGCCCCGGCACAGCCCGACACGGCUCACGGCGAGAGUUUCGGCUUCCUACCUCGCUCCCGGGAGGCCGCGACGUCGGGCUCCUCCUCUCCGUCCUCGCCCCCGGCUCUCCCCCGGCUCUCGGCCCGGCCCGGCAGUGUCGCCCGCGGCCGCCAGGCGGAGCCCAAGUGCGCCCGGCCCGCAGCGCCGCCCCGCAGCAGCAGCAGGCGGUGCCCGAGGCCCCGCCCCGCCCCCUUCCCUCCCAUUUAAGCGCCGCCCGGUUCCCGCUCGUCUUUCUUCUUGUGCGGUCGCAGUCGGAGCUGCUCUCUGCUCCCCUCUCCGUCGGGUCGGUCCUGCCGGCCCGGCCCGCUCCCGUCCCCCUGCGCUGGCGGUGCCGCUGCUCCCGGUYCUGCCUGCCGGCUCCUGCCGUGCCCGGAGCUUCGCUCUGUGUCCUGGGACUUCUCGCUGCUGGGGCGGCCCCUGGACCUGCUGCCGGUUCCCCUAGUCCCGCUGCCACCUGGUCGUUGCCUGUUUUCCACCUUCCUCGCCCAGGUCCUGCAGGGAAGGGGCCAAGUCAGAGCCUGCUCUGGGCACCCGGUGCUUCCUGGGGCUGA